rnacentral:rRNA from 1 species
UACGUAGGGUGCAAGCGUUGUCCGGAAUUAUUGGGCGUAAAGAGCUCGUAGGCGGUUUGUCGCGUCGAAUGUGAAAACCCGGGGCUCAACCCCGGGCCUGCAUUCGAUACGGGCAGGCUAGAGUUCGGUAGGGGAGUCUGGAAUUCCUGGUGUAGCGGUGAAAUGCGCAGAUAUCAGGAGGAACACCGGUGGCGAAGGCGGGACUCUGGGCCGGUACUGACGCUGAGGAGCGAAAGCGUGGGGAGCAAACAGG